rnacentral:rRNA from 1 species
GACGAACGCUCUCGGCGUGCUUAACACAUGCAAGUCGAACGGAAAGGCCCUGCUUUUGUGGGGUGCUCGAGUGGCGAACGGGUGAGUAACACGUGAGUAACCUGCCCUUGACUUUGGGAUAACUUCAGGAAACUGGGGCUAAUACCGGAUAGGAGCUCCUGCUGCAUGGUGGGGGUUGGAAAGUUUCGGCGGUUGGGGAUGGACUCGCGGCUUAUCAGCUUGUUGGUGGGGUAGUGGCUUACCAAGGCUUUGACGGGUAGCCGGCCUGAGAGGGUGACCGGCCACAUUGGGACUGAGAUACGGCCCAGACUCCUACGGGAGGCAGCAGUGGGGAAUAUUGCACAAUGGGCGGAAGCCUGAUGCAGCAACGCCGCGUGCGGGAUGACGGCCUUCGGGUUGUAAACCGCUUUCGCCUGUGACGAAGCGUGAGUGACGGUAAUGGGUAAAGAAGCACCGGCUAACUACGUGCCAGCAGCCGCGGUGAUACGUAGGGUGCGAGCGUUGUCCGGAUUUAUUGGGCGUAAAGGGCUCGUAGGUGGUUGAUCGCGUCGGAAGUGUAAUCUUGGGGCUUAACCCCUGAGCGUGCUUUCGAUACGGGUUGACUUGAGGAAGGUAGGGGAGAAUGGAAUUCCUGGUGGAGCGGUGGAAUGCGCAGAUAUCAGGAGGAACACCAGUGGCGAAGGCGGUUCUCUGGGCCUUUCCUGACGCUGAGGAGCGAAAGCGUGGGGAGCGAACAGGCAUAGAUACCCUGGUAGUCCACGCUGUAAACGGUGGGUACUAGGUGUGGGGUCCAUUCCACGGGUUCCGUGCCGUAGCUAACGCUUUAAGUACCCCGCCUGGGGAGUACGGCCGCAAGGCUAAAACUCAAAGGAAUUGACGGGGCCCCGCACAAGCGGCGGAGCAUGCGGAUUAAUUCGAUGCAACGCGUAGAACCUUACCUGGGUUUGACAUGGAUCGGGAGUGCUCAGAGAUGGGUGUGCCUCUUUUGGGGUCGGUUCACAGGUGGUGCAUGGCUGUCGUCAGCUCGUGUCGUGAGAUGUUGGGUUAAGUCCCGCAACGAGCGCAACCCUUGUUCACUGUUGCCAGCACGUUAUGGUGGGGACUCAGUGGAGACCGCCGGGGUCAACUCGGAGGAAGGUGGGGAUGACGUCAAGUCAUCAUGCCCCUUAUGUCCAGGGCUUCACGCAUGCUACAAUGGCUGGUACAGAGAGUGGCGAGCCUGUGAGGGUGAGCGAAUCUCGGAAAGCCGGUCUCAGUUCGGAUUGGGGUCUGCAACUCGACCUCAUGAAGUCGGAGUCGCUAGUAAUCGCAGAUCAGCAACGCUGCGGUGAAUACGUUCCCGGG